CGGCGGCGGCAGCAACGGCGGCGGCGGCGGCAGCCUGAGUGAAGUCAGCGGAACCUCUGUGAGCCGCCGGGGUUCGACGGGUAACUGAGGACGGAGAGAGACGAGGGAAAUACGGUGGAAACCAGCCGGUUCCAGAGAAGAAGAAUCAGUUAUCAGACGGUCGGUCGAGGACAAAUUCAACCCACACACAGUUUAACCUCGGAGCUCCGACGCAGCUCAACUGUUGGACCAUUGUUUCUUUAUUUAAUCAGAACUAUUCUAAUAUGAAAGUAAUUAAAUCAGCUCUGAGUGACUCCACCCGCUCUGUAACAGCUGGCUUCAUCACAGUUAAUAUUAAAAUAUAAAGACACUGAAUAACAUCAGUUAUCACAGUAACAGUGACAGUGACCAGAGUUACAGUCGGCUAACAACUCUAAUGAAUGAUAAAUGUCCUCCAGUGAUGUCAGAUGAGUCGUCUCUGUUGCAGGAUACAUUAGCCGCAACUAGCAUAACAAACCGGUUCAAGAGCACCUGAGACUUAAACGUCUCUUUGUCAACCUGACGGCUGCUUCUUCUCAGCAACAGCAGCUAAGGUUUAUGGGUAAUGUAGUAUUAAACAAUGAAUCCUAACAUGUAAUGUGGCCACUUCCUAUUUAUAUUUACAUAAAGAUAAUAAAAACAAACAUGAACAGUUCAGUUUAACUGUCGGUCUAUUCUCUGUCUAAUAAACAGUAUUAAUAUAAUAACUAUAUAAUAAUAACUAUAUAUCAGCAUCAUCUCUCUGUGUUCUCCUGUGAGCGAACUCACACAUUCAUGGUAGGAUCAUAUCGGGUUCUGAUCCAAUAAGAGACAGAGCUCGGGCGGGUCUUUGCCUCUGAUUGGCUGUGGUCCUGUUCACCGCGCUAAGUUGCGUGUGUUUAAAAAUUGCGCGUGACCUGAGCGCGAGAGUAGCUGACUAACUGAAACGGAAAAAUAAAAUAAACGCGACAAAACGAGGGAAAAUGAAGAGAGGCAGAAAUAUUGAAAGUUUUUUCAUUAAGAAAACCAAACCUACAACCAGCCCUACGACUAUAAUCCCAUCCAUCCCCACUACUGAGAGUCCAUCCCGUCAAGACACGGGGCCCUCGGUCCCUGGUGAGAUACCGAGCCCCGGUCCUUCAGCGACAGCAUCAGACUCGGAACCAGAGGAGACAACCGAGUCUGGGAUAGAGCCCGGCUCCGAGACCCAAAUUAAAAAGGUCAACAUAUAUUCCUUCAGACAGGACUGGCUGAAACAAGUUCCCUGGCUGAGGAACAACAAAGGACGUAAUGCAAUGCACUGCGUGUACUGUCAGGAGUGCGGUCAGAAUAUGAUUGGAAAUAGUGCAUUCAUGAGCGGGUCAACAACGUUUCAUAUCGAAACUUUAAAAAAACAUAACGUGUCUAAAAAACACACAAUAUGCCGUGACGAGUGUGUAGAGAAAGUGGCCCCAGUUUGAAAUUUAGUUUCAGUGAAGCACUUUAAACACUUUAUUUUUCUUUUUAUAUAUAAUUGUGCUUCAAAUAAAGACAAGCAUUUCUCUACACCUUAUUCUUGUUUAAAAAUCAUUCACAUUAUAUGAAAGUUAUGGAGAGCAAUAAAAAGGUGACCUUAUGGCGUUAAAGGCGACGCAAUGAAAAAUUUGGGUGCACCUAAAAAAAAAAAGUUAGGCACACCAGUGCAACCAAUGCAAAAAGUUAGUCUAGAGCCCUGAUAUAUAUAUAUAUAUAUAUAUAAAUAAAAUAACUAUAUAUUAUAUAGUUACAGCUGAUCUACUCGGAUUCGACCUUCCAGCAGUGAAAUUAAACAUCUGGACUGUUUCUGGGCGCGUGGCUCCGCUGAUAAAGGUCACAUUAAAUAGUCAGAUUUCUGAAUGGACUUUACAGUGAGACAGUAACUGAGCUGGAGAGAGAGACAGACACAGAGAGAGAGACAGACAGACAGAGAGAGACAGAGAGGGAGAGAGAGACACACAGAGAGAGAGAGAGACACAGAGAGAGAGAGAGAGAGACACAGAGAGAGAGACAGACACAGAGAGAGAGAGACAGACAGACAGAGAGAGAGACAGACAGAGAGAGAGACAGAGAGACAGAGAGAGACAGACAGAGAGAGAGACAGAGAGAGACAUAGAGAGACAGAGAGAGAGACAGAGAGGGAGAGAGAGACAGACAGACAGAGAGAGACAGAGAGAGAGAGAGAGAGAGAGGAUAGCUGCUGCUUUAGUUUCAGUCUGCUCAGUCUAACAGGUUAUAAAGAGUCUCAGUUGAACACAGAGAGCAGCUCAGAUGUUUCUAUAGUUACUAUAAAGCUCAUAAAGCUACGAUAUUAAAUAUAUAUAAAACAUCAUAUUACCACUAUAAUAUGAUUCAUGAUUAUUGUAGGAUGGAUAAUUUCUGCAUCACAAAUUUAAAAAUAAAACAUUUUGUUGGUUUGAACCAAACAAACAUGUUUUCUUACAUCUGAAGAAGAUUUGUAGUUUGUGCUUUUCUAAAGAAAUCUAAUAAUUAUAAUGAAGUUUGUCUCACAGCUUUAAUAAAACACAUUAACAGAGCGGGGACUCUCUCUGGUAACAACACCUGAAGGCCUCGGCAUAAAACUAAUAAAACAUUUGUUAGAAAACUGACCCAGUGAUCAGUUGGUAUUAUAAAUAUAAUAUUAUUAUUUAAUUUAAAGCUCCAGUGUUUGAUAAUCCUGUAAUAUAACACGAGGAAUAUAUUAAUAAUAAUAAUAAUAAUAAUAAUAAUAAUGUGUUUAUAUCUCUGCUGGAGGAGUCGGCCAUGUUGAAAUCCUUUAAUGUGCUUUAUUGUUUCAGUUUAUUCAGAUCCCUGUUUAUCCUUUUAUACAGAGCCUUUUUCACAGCAGCCUUUUUCACACGAAACAGUCGGGUAAACACAGUAAAUAAAAUAAUGAAGGCUGUGUUUUAUUUAGUGUAGCAGAGUCAACAUGAACUAUAUCAACACCUCGACCUUUAAACGGGUUUAAAUCCAGGAUGAAAACUUUAAAAGAUUUUUACUAUUUUCAUUUAUCUUCUUUUUUUUUUACAGUUUUAUCUUAAAUUUGAUAUAUUUUAUAUUUAUUGUGCUUUUUAAAAUCUCUAUCAUUUUAAAUAUAAAGUGCUGUUUCCAGUGUAUGAAAUUGAUUUCUAUUUAUUCAUUAUUCUUAUUAUAUUUUCUACACAUAUUGUUGUUAUAUUGUAAUAAGAAACAUUUUGAACGUUGUUAUUAUUAAUAUUUAUUUUGCUUUAAUGUCUCCUGAUCGACUGUAACUAAACAAAUUUACCCUCCGAGAUCAAUAAAGUAUUUCUGAUUGUGAAA